CCCUUAGAUGUUCUGGGCCGCACGCGCGCUACACUGAUGCAUUCAACGAGUUUUUCCUGGUCCGAGAGGAAUGGGUAACCUUUUGAAAGUGUAUCGUGCUAGGGAUAGACUAUUGCAAUUAUUGGUCUUCAACGAGGAAUUCCUAGUAGACGUAGUUCAUCAGACUGCAUCGAUUACGUCCCUGCCCUUUGUACACACCGCCCGUCGCUCCUACCGAUUGGAUGAUCCGGUGAGCUAUUCGGACCUUCGCUUCGUCGAUUUUCGGCUUUGUGAGGGAAAGUCUCGCGAACCUUAUCAUCUAGAGGAAGGAGAAGUCGUAACA
rnacentral:rRNA from 1 species